rnacentral:lncRNA from 1 species
AAGAAAGUUUACUUUAUAAUGUAACUGAGGCCAAUAUGUUGAAUUCCUGUACAACAUUUUCUGCAUUAUAUCAAGCUUUCUAUGAGUUCUGUUGUGACAGUGUAUAUUUAGAAGGGCAGAGAAAAGUAUUGAUCGUUUUGUCAACAUAUAUUUCAGGAUACCUAUAUGGCCAUAUGCAAAGCUAAUCAUAACCUGCUGGUUGGUCCUUCCUUACUUCAGUGGUGCUUCUUACGUUUACGAGCAUUAUGUGAGAGCUUUCUUGCUCAAUCCUCAGACCAUUAACAUCUGGUAUGUUCCAAGGAAAAAGGACAUCUUCAGUAAGCCAGAUGACAUUAUAACUGCUGCCGAGAAAUACAUACAAGAGAAUGGAACACAAGAAUUUGAGAAUCUGAUCCAUAGGGUAUUUCCAUCUGUAACACUUGAUGAUUGUGGAAUUAUUCCUUGAUUUGUAUCUGACCUGUUGUACUAAUAGUGUCAUCUCUUUGCAGGCUGGUAAAUCAAGGAGUGAUGGUUAUCAUGCAAUGUAUGAUGAGACCUAUUGAAUGGUUCUUAUAGCUUCUACCUUAUAGGGAUAAUGGGAUGCAUGUAUAUGCUAGUAUGUUACUGGUAUUUCCUCUUAUCUCCUUAGGAGACUCAAGUGUUUUUCACCCUUUAUUGAAGUUUUUAUUUUCCGUGUAACUUAGGAUUAGUUAUCUGUGGUCUGUUUAAUAACACUAUGACACGUCUGGUAUAUAGAUAAUGCUAUGCUACAGUAGCAGCCUGUUAAUUUUUCCUUUGUUAUACCUUCAACAAAACCCCUCCAUUAUUAGAUAAUUUAGGGAUGCAAUUUUCUGAUGCCGCUAUUGAUCUUGUGAUUUUUUUUGUAAACCUUUUUUCCUCUUAUUUCAUUGAUAGUAUCCUUGUAAAUAGUAAUUGAAGAUGAAAUAUUGUUGUUUGAAAUCUUGCCCAAAUAGGUUUAUAAGAAUGUUUACCUAUCUUUCUGGGCUUACUUUGUAAACCUAUUUUUCUAUAUGGGUAAAUAAUAACGAGAGAAAAGAAGGUAAAAUGUAUCUAUUUUUCUUUGUACACCUAUCUUUCUUUGUGCUUUGAGUUCUACCGUUAUUGUGCCUAAAAUCUUAUACUUGACGUAUAGAUGCUAAUGAUUUGUUGAUUAUUAACAUUAACACAUUAUCUUUGCUUUGGAAAAUUAACAACAACCACAAACAACUAGGGCACACCUAGGCUAUCCUUAAGGAGAAGAUACUCUAACUCGGGGGGUCUAGUCUCGCAAUCCAUUCUGCCGUUGAUUUACCCUCUGGCUAACUUUAUAAUGUAACUGAGGCCAAUAUGUUGAAUUCCUGUACAACAUUUUCUGCAUUAUAUCAAGCUUUCUAUGAGUUCUGUUGUGACAGUGUAUAUUUAGAAGGGCAGAGAAAAGUAUUGAUCGUUUUGUCAACAUAUAUUUCAGGAUACCUAUAUGGCCAUAUGCAAAGCUAAUCAUAACCUGCUGGUUGGUCCUUCCUUACUUCAGUGGUGCUUCUUACGUUUACGAGCAUUAUGUGAGAGCUUUCUUGCUCAAUCCUCAGACCAUUAACAUCUGGUAUGUUCCAAGGAAAAAGGACAUCUUCAGUAAGCCAGAUGACAUUAUAACUG